GAUGAACGCUGGCGGCGUGCCUAAUACAUGCAAGUCGAGCGAACAGACGAGGAGCUUGCUCCUCUGACGUUAGCGGCGGACGGGUGAGUAACACGUGGAUAACCUACCUAUAAGACUGGGAUAACUUCGGGAAACCGGAGCUAAUACCGGAUAAUAUAUUGAACCGCAUGGUUCAAUAGUGAAAGACGGUUUUGCUGUCACUUAUAGAUGGAUCCGCGCCGCAUUAGCUAGUUGGUAAGGUAACGGCUUACCAAGGCAACGAUGCGUAGCCGACCUGAGAGGGUGAUCGGCCACACUGGAACUGAGAAACGGUCCAGACUCCUACGGGAGGCAGCAGUAGGGACUCUUCCGCAAUGGGCGAAAGCCUGACGGAGCAACGCCGCGUGAGUGAUGAAGGUCUUCGGAUCGUAAAACUCUGUUAUUAGGGAAGAACAAAUGUGUAAGUAACUAUGCACGUCUUGACGGUACCUAAUCAGAAAGCCACGGCUAACUCCGUG
rnacentral:rRNA from 1 species